GAAGGGAGCUAGUUCAUAGCAUAGUGUGCUUUGUUGUAUCUGCAUCAGCAAAGCAGAUAAGCUCAGCCUCUCUUCAUCUGAAAAGGGAACAGAGGAGUAGCAGCAGGAGACAGUGCAAUACUUGAGGAUAUUUUGAAGAUUUCAGGCAACAAGACGACUUUCAGCUGUAUCCAGCACUCCAGCUGUGUGUGAUUUGCCUCUUAAUCAAAGAUUUCAAAAAUCAGGUUCCAUCUGCUAAAAAAUUCAAAGAUCCUGGAUUUGAGAGGCUAUUUAUGAACAUCAAACUGUGGUCCAUUUCUCCCUGGAGUAUCAUGCAGAUGUGCAGCUGCACAGCUGCAGCUCUUCAACACCAGGAGAAGUAUGAGCUAUCCACAGACACCAGUAAAAAGCCAGGCCCAUGCAGGCCACACAAGCCCUGCCUAAACUUGGGAGAAAUUUGAAAUAACAGGUAAGGAUGACUACAGCAGUCUACAUUUGUUUUCCUGAGAUUUCUGUAAAUGAAUUCAGAGGCUCAGAAUUUCUAAGGUUCACCUGCAGUGACCCCUAGUGUAGUUUAGAUUUUCUUUUCUUAAAUGAAGAUAGCAUGUAUAUGAAGACCUUCUCUUUCUAUUUAUUUGUGUGAUGAUAUUCGACUCAGUGAGUUCUCUGUUGUACAGUUAUUAAUCAUAAUCUAAGAAAUUAUUUGGUUUAUUAUACUUCUGAUUUUCAGCCAGUCAAGAAAGUUGGUUUCAUCUACAGCUAAGGAUGCUGUGUUAAAAAGGGAUAAGUCAUAAAUUAUGGGAGAGGAAAAUAUGCAAAAAAGGUUCAAAUUUAAAUUAAAAGUCCAAAUGAAACAAUCACAUGUAAAUUCCUGCUUUUUAAGGAAAGCAUAGCAUGCACUUUACCAUUGCAACAUGCCUCAUAACAGACUGCAGUAGUUUUCCAGAACAUUCACCUUCCUGCACUGUUUUUAUUGCCCUCAGCUGGAUGAGGAUAUUGUUGCCUUGAUUUAACCUCCCCAGCAUGUUUCAGUGCCUGCACAAAAUGCAAUUGACCAAACAGCACUGUCUCCCCAACUUCAUUGAGACC
rnacentral:lncRNA from 1 species